GCCGAUGUGGUGGAAUUGGUAGACACGCUAUCUUGAGGGGGUAGUGGCGUAAGCCGUGCCGGUUCGAGUCCGGCCAUCGGCACCA
rnacentral:tRNA from 1 species